GAACAGCUCAGAGAGCUCCGGGCCAGCCAUUCCCACCGAGGGAAAAAGAAGCCACUGGUCUCCAUAAAUCUCUCCGAGAGCAAGGUGUGUGCAUCACACCUUGUGACAGUUAGAAAUACUGUCACAAAGACAGCAGGAGAGAACGGAUGUGAGCAAGUGGUCAGGACAUUCUGCCUGGAGGGAGGAGAGAGCAUCAACUACUGGAGAGGAGCACUUCCCCACAGUGAGCCAGGCAGUCUCUCCGCUGACGGGCGGGGGGUGCAGCAGGCCCCUGGUGGAUCAGGUGGCAGACUGUCCGCUGAUGGGCAGGGGGCGCAGCAGGCCCCUGGUGGAUCAGAUGACGGGGCAGGCCAGGAGAAAGAACCUCCAAGGCUGGAGCAGACAGAGACGUUUAUUAACACAGAUAAGUUCUUAUUGAAUCAAGAGGGAGCACUUAGAAGGAAGCCUCUGGAGAGUAAAAGGAUUAAGUCAUUUUGGAACAUGUUUCUCCUGUCAAGUGAGCAAAUGAAACCGCAGCGUGGCCACCCGAUUCUGACUGACUCAAGCCCGAGGAAGGGGGGCUCCGAAAGGGAAGGGAAGAGCUCGGGGCGGUCCCUGGAGGAGCCUCUGCUGGGAGGAGUCAGCACGACCUGGCUGCAGGACAUUUCCGUGAAUAUCCAGAAUAUUCCAGAAUAUCCAGAGCAUAGCGACGCCGAGACAAAGGGAUGGCUGUAAGCUACUACGACCGUUUUUAUUAGAAAUACGAUCUUUUAAGAAAGUGUCGACAUGCUUUCCUUCCUUGAUAAGUUGCUUUUACUAAGGGUAAAACAUAUAAAACAUCUACCAUCUUCACCACAGCCCUGCAGGGGUCAUUGUUAGCGUGUAGUCCAGGACAGGCAUGAAGCUCCAGGAGGUCACAGUGCCGGUAGCGGGGCAGGCUCCAGGGCCUACCUCAAAGCCUUCGCCUCUUCCCUGCUUCCGCCCCUGGCCCUCCCCUCCCCUCUACCACCCCAGCCCCUCUCUCUCCCUGUAUCUCUCUCUCACACACAUCUGAGACUCCUCUUGGUGACCAAACAUCUUGACUCACAUUCUGGACGUGAAAUUGUGAGCGAGGGAUUGAUGCCUGUGUACUAACCUGAGACUGUACCGUACAAACUGCUGUUUCAAGUAUUCUGUUCCUCUUUUCCAUGAUUUCUAAUCGGUUCUUUUCCUAUCUUUCUCUUCUUGUUUCAUUGCUUUCUAGUUUUGUUUCAUAAAGUCCUGUGACUGUUUUUGGCUGGCCUUCCUUUGUAUCUUCAAGUGCUUAAACAUGCUUAUUUUGCAUUCACUUUGAGAUCGCUGCUAUCACAGGCAUUCCCAGAGCAGGGGUCUCUGCUGAUUACGGAAUUUGUGGGAGCACUUUCUUAGAUCCACAUUUCAGUGUCCUUUAGAACCUUCUUUCGCUGGCCCCCAGGAUUGGGCAUUGUUCCUGAUUUCUCCCUGGUUCUGUGGUGGCCUCUGCCCGAGGCCUCAGACGGCCUGCAUGCCUGACUUGGGGCUCCUUCGUCGGUGAUAGUUCACCAGGUGAAGCCUGUCGCUGCUCCUUCCCGAGCUGUGAGGACGAGUUAUGAUGCCAGCCCUGCUGUGCCUCCUGCCUAACUCCCUUGGGAGCCGGGCUCCGGCUCCCUGCUGGAAAGGGAAGCUUCCCGUCCGCUUCCUUCCACGACGGAGCCCCACAGACGCGACAUCAGCACUC
rnacentral:lncRNA from 1 species